rnacentral:tRNA from 3 species
GGUAAAAUGGCUGAGAUAUAAGUAUUAGACUGUAAAUCUAAAGACAGAGAAUAGACCUCUUUUUACCA